GGCGAACGCUGGCGGCGUGCUUAACACAUGCAAGUCGAACGCUGACGACCGAUCUUGCUCGGUCUGAUUAGUGGCGCACGGGUGAGUGACACGUGAGCAACCUCCCCUUUACUCUGGGAUAACCUCUGGAAAUAGGGGCUAAUACCGGACAUAAGCACCUUUCGCAUAGGGGUUGUGGGAAAGAUUUUCGGUGAAGGAUGUGCUCGCGGCCUACCAGUUGUUUGGGGAGGUUGGUGCUCACAAGGGCGACGAAGGCGAGCCGGCCUGAGAGGGCGACAGGCCACACAGGGACAGAGACACGGCCCAGACUGCUACGGGAGGCAGCAGUGGGGGAUAGUGCACGAUGGGCGAAAGCCUGAUGGAGGGAUGCCGCGUGGGGGAUGACGGCCGUCGGGUUGUAAACCUCGUUCAGCAGGGAAGAAGCGCAAGUGACGGUACCUGCAGAAGAAGCGACGGCUAACUACGUG
rnacentral:rRNA from 1 species